AAACUUUCAACAAUGGAUCUCUUGGUUCCGGCAUCGAUGAAGAACGCAGCGAACUGCGAUAAGUAAUGUGAAUUGCAGAAUUCAGUGAAUCAUCGAGUCUUUGAACGCACAUUGGCCCCCUGGCAUUCCGGGGGGCAUGCCUGUCCGAGCGUCAUU
rnacentral:rRNA from 1 species